rnacentral:lncRNA from 10 species
GGGCAUGGAGAGGGGCACAUAGGCUUGGCCAGCAGGCCUCUCCUGCCUCACCCGCCAGAUCCUCAGCCCUCCCCACUGGCAGCACAGCUCUUGAGAACAGUGCCAGCUGCAGUCCAUGGAGCAGCUGCUGUGUGCCAGGCACUGUCCUAAGAACCCUGUGUUUUUUCAAUCAGUUACUCUGACCACCCUCAAGAGGUGCACAGCUGCUGGCUGCACUUCAUGGCUGAGGACCUGAGGCCUCUUUAGAAGAAACUGACUUGCCUAAGGUCACACAGACAGAAAGAGGCAGAUCUAGACUCACACCCAGAUCUACACACCCCACUCCACACCCAUCCCCACUUCCUAUCCCCUUUCCCUGCCUUGCCUCUGAUGCACUUGUUACCACCUGACAAACCAUCUCUUUUAUUUUUUGUCUGUCCACCCUCACCAGAGUUUAAACUCUGUGAAGACAAGAGGUUUAGUCUUAUUGGUUCACUGCUGUAUCCCCAGCAUCUAAAACAGUGCCAAGCACAUAGUAGUUGCUCAAUGAGUAUUGAACGAAUGGAUGAAUGAACGAAUGGUUCUAAUUGCUGGGCACCCUCCCACCAGGCCUCUGGUCCUGACCUGAUGUGGCUAAGCAGGAUUCUGAUGGCCAAACAUGAGGAAGCUGGAUAAGGGGAAGGCUGGGGAUGGGGUGGGGGAGGUGGGGCUAGGUGGGUGUCUGUCCCUUAGCCCCCUACCUCUCUACCUCCUCUCUGUGCUGCAGAGACUGCCCACCUGUGACAGUGACAGUGAAGAAGGCCGAGUCAUCUCCAGCAUCACAUACAAACUCGCCCCCGUCCUCGGGCUGAGCAGCAGGUAGCACCAGGCGGCAGCGUGGCCCAUCCCUCUCCAGCACCAGGGCCUCGCUCUCCUCCACUUCCAGCCCAUCCUUGUACCAGCGCACAGGGGCAUCCUCCCGAGACAGUUCACACAUCAGCACCACACACUCCAAGGUCACGGCGAUCAAGGUCACCUCAUCGCGAGGGUAUAUGAUCCGCACUGGGGGUUCUGCAGGGUGGGGACAACCACAGCCUGUCACAAGCUCACCGUCAGCCUCUCUGGAGCCAUUCGGCAGCAUGAAGUCCCUAUCACCCACAUAAUAAUGAGAAUAAUAAGUAAAAUAAUAAUAAGC